GAUGAACGCUGGCGGCGUGCCUAAUACAUGCAAGUCGAGCGAACAGACGAGGAGCUUGCUCCUCUGACGUUAGCGGCGGACGGGUGAGUAACACGUGGAUAACCUACCUAUAAGACUGGGAUAACUUCGGGAAACCGGAGCUAAUACCGGAUAAUAUAUUGAACCGCAUGGUUCAAUAGUGAAAGACGGUUUUGCUGUCACUUAUAGAUGGAUCCGCGCCGCAUUAGCUAGUUGUUAAGGUAACGGCUUACCAAGGCAACGAUGCGUAGCCGACCUAAGAGGAUGAUCGGCCACACUGGAACUGAGACACGGUCCCGGCUCCUACGGGAGGAAGCAGUAGGGACUCUUCCCCAAUGCGCGAAAGCCUGACGGAGCAACGCCGCGUGAGUGAUGAAGGUCUUCCGCUCGUUAAACUCUGUUAUCAGGGAAGAACAAAUGUGUAAGUAACUAUGCACGUCUUGACGGUACCUAAUCAGAAAGCCACGGCUAACUACGUG
rnacentral:rRNA from 1 species